UACGAAGGGGGCUAGCGUUGCUCGGAAUCACUGGGCGUAAAGCGCACGUAGGCGGACUCUUAAGUCGGUGGUGAAAUCCUGGAGCUCAACUCCAGAACUGCCUUUGAUACUGAAGAUCUUGAGUUCGGGAGAGGUGAGUGGAACUGCGAGUGUAGAGGUGAAAUUCGUAGAUAUUCGCAAGAACACCAGUGGCGAAGGCGGCUCACUGGCCCGAUACUGACGCUGAGGCACGAAAGCGUGGGGAGCAAACAGG
rnacentral:rRNA from 1 species